rnacentral:misc_RNA from 1 species
AAGUCGUAACAAGGUUUCCGUAGGUGAACCUGCGGAAGGAUCAUUAUUGAAAUUGAAAGGGGUUGUGCUGGCCUUCCGAGGCAUGUGCAUGCUUCGAUCAUCCACACUAUCACACCUGUGCACUACCGGGGGGUCGCUCUCCUUUUCGGAGGAGCAGUUCCUGUCCUUGCGGACGGUCUGAACCGGGGCGAUUCCUCUCCUCUCCACACACUACAAAGACAUCCAGAACGUCAUUUUUGCUCUAACGCAAUUUAAAUACAACUUUUAACAACGGAUCUCUUGGCUCUC